rnacentral:rRNA from 1 species
UACAGAGGUCUCAAGCGUUGUUCGGAUUCAUUGGGCGUAAAGGGUGCGUAGGCGGCGCGGUAAGUCGGGUGUGAAACCUUGGAGCUUAACUCCGAAACUGCAUUCGAUACUGCCGUGCUUGAGGACUGGAGAGGAGACUGGAAUUUACGGUGUAGCGGUGAAAUGCGUAGAUAUCGUAAGGAAGACCAGUGGCGAAGGCGGGUCUCUGGACAGUUCCUGACGCUGAGGCACGAAGGCCAGGGGAGCAAACGGG